AAUUGGAAGACAGAGAGAUUGAAAGACCCCCGAAGGGAGCCCCCCACUCAAGUCUCGGGAAAGGCGCGCACCCAGUAGGACACAGACACCA
rnacentral:pre_miRNA from 14 species